ACGCGGAGCUAUCCUGCGUGAGCGAGUGAGCGAACGGGUGAGUCAUAUAUCGGAACGUGCCCAGUCGGGGGGGAUAACGCAGCGAAAGCUGUGGUAAUACCGCAUACGAUCUACGGAUGAAAGCGGGGGAUCGCAAGACCUCACGCGAUUGGAGCGGCUGAUAUCAGAUUAGCUAGUUGGUGGGGUAAAGGCCUACCAAGGCGACGAUCUGUAGCUGGUCUGAGAGGACGACCAGCCACACUGGAACUGAGACACGGUCCAGACUCCUACGGGAGGCAGCAGUGGGGAAUUUUGGACAAUGGGCGCAAGCCUGAUCCAGCAAUGCCGCGUGCAGGAUGAAGGCCUUCGGGUUGUAAACUGCUUUUGUACGGAACGAAAAGGUCUUUCUUAAUACGAGAGAUUUAUGACGGUACCGUAAGAAUAAGCACCGGCUAACUACGUGCCAGCAGCCGCGGUAAUACGUAGGGUGCGAGCGUUAAUCGGAAUUACUGGGCGUAAAGCGUGCGCAGGCGGUUUUGUAAGACAGAUGUGAAAUCCCCGGGCUCAACCUGGGACCUGCAUUUGUGACUGCAAGGCUAGAGUACGGUAGAGGGGGAUGGAAUUCCGCGUGUAGCAGUGAAAUGCGUACAUAUGCGCACGAACACCGAUGGCGAAGGCAAUCCCCUGGACCUGUACUGACGCUCAUGCACUAAAGCGUGGGGGAGCUAACAGGAUUAGAUAUUCUGCUAGUCCCUGCCCUUAUCUAUGUAAACUCGGCUG
rnacentral:rRNA from 1 species